rnacentral:tRNA from 1 species
GGCGACGUAGCUCAGUUGGUGAGAGUGCUCGACUCAUAAUCGAGAGGUCGUGGGUUCGAGUCCCACCGUCGCUA